GAUCUUUUCGCUCAUGAACAACACAUGGACUGACGAGAGGAACCGCAUGACCAUUCCCACAACCAUUCCCAACUU